GAUGAACGCUGGCGGCGUGCCUAAUACAUGCAAGUCGAGCGAACGGACGAGAAGCUUGCUUCUCUGAUGUUAGCGGCGGACGGGUGAGUAACACGUGGAUAACCUACCUAUAAGACUGGGAUAACUUCGGGAAACCGGAGCUAAUACCGGAUAAUAUUUUGAACCGCAUGGUUCAAAAGUGAAAGACGGUCUUGCUGUCACUUAUAGAUGGAUCCGCGCUGCAUUAGCUAGUUGGUAAGGUAACGGCUUACCAAGGCAACGAUGCAUAGCCGACCUGAGAGGGUGAUCGGCCACACUGGAACUGAGACACGGUCCAGACUCCUACGGGGGGAAGCAGUAGGGAAUCUUCCGCAAUGGGCGAAAGCCUGACGGAGCAACGCCGCGUGAGUGAUGAAGGUCUUCGGAUCGUAAAACUCUGUUAUUAGGGAAGAACAUAUGUGUAAGUAACUGUGCACAUCUUGACGGUACCUAAUCAGAAAGCCACGGCUAACUACGUG
rnacentral:rRNA from 1 species